CUAGUGGGUUUUAGAAACUGGUGGGCUCAGAUAGCCAAUUAAUCACUGAAGCGGCUACAUGUGUUUUGCUGUCACAGAGUCUUUGUUUAAUUGAGGUGAAUGACAACGAAGAGCCUGUAGAUGAAGACAUGCAAUUACCAGCCUAUUUCCUUAUCUAGGCUUAGGGUUUAUGACCAUAUAAGGACCAUAUUCAGUCACAUAAAGUACUUGUACAUGAAUAGUGCAAGGAGUUAAUGAGUACAGUCUGUGCGUGUAUGUGUGUGUGUGUGUGUGUGUGUGUGUGUGUGUGCUUUUCAUUAGCCUAAUAGGCAGUCAAAUUGGUAUUACUACAGCCCAAUAAGAUACUUGAUAUCCCCUCCUCUGUUUCAAUUACUGAAACCACAGUGAAGAGAAAUAUAAUGGAAAGCAAAAUUAUUGUCAUUGUUGAUGAGGUUUCCUCUCUCAUCUGGUCUGUGUGUGGUGUCAGUGUGUGUCUGAUUGAGGUUGAAGGGGGACGUGCUGUAUGUGUGUGUGUGUUGUGUGUCUGAUUGAGGUUGAAGGGGGACGUGCUGUAUGUGUGUGUGUGUGUGUGUGCAUCCGUGUGUGUGCGCAACUACAAGUAUGUGUGUGUGUGUGUGUGUGUGUGUGUAUGUGCUCGUGUGUCACCAUCAAAUGUACAUUUGUUGAUUGCUAGGCAUACAAAUCAGAUGAUUUAUUGGUACAUUUGAAAUUAGGUGUAGUUGUGUCCGCAACCGGACUAGAUUGUGAAUGACUCUUGGUGGAAUGCAUUGCUUGACUGCCGUGAGGGUGAUCAGCACAAUAUCAUUUGCGAACUGCUGCCACCCAAACAAUUCUCGAGAUUGAGUUUGUUGAGCAGAGACUGUGUGUGUUUUUGGUUCGACAAAGCAGUGUCAUAACAUUCAAUAAUCAUUGAAUUGCAGUCAGUGUUGCACCAUGCGAUCAUUUAUCAGUUAUGAUGUCUUUGUAUUCUCUACACUGCCUGGAGCAUGAUCUGUUGAGCCUGAGCUCAUAUAUGACAGACAGGUGUGGUGAGAUCAUAUAUGACAGACAGCUGUGGUGAGAUCAUAUAUGACAG
ensembl:lncRNA